rnacentral:rRNA from 1 species
CGCGUAGGAAUCUACCCAGUAGUGGGGGACAACUUGGGGAAACCCAAGCUAAUACCGCAUACGCCCUACGGGGAAAGCGGGGACCGUUCGGGCCUCGUGCUAUUGGAUGAGCCUGCGUCGGAUUAGCUAGUUGGUGGGGUAAAGGCCCACCAAGGCGACGAUCCGUAGCUGGUCUGAGAGGAUGAUCAGCCACACUGGGACUGAGACACGGCCCAGACUCCUACGGGAGGCAGCAGUGGGGAAUAUUGCGCAAUGGGGGCAACCCUGACGCAGCCAUGCCGCGUGUGUGAAGAAGGCCUU